UUAUAAUUCGUAUUUUUAUUGCUGUUAGAUGAUAAAAUAUGAUUAAUAUUUUAUGCUUGACUUGUUUUUUUAAUUUUUUUCAUAAUUUUUUCAAAUAAGACGGACGGUCAAACGUUGGACACGGAAACCAGGGUUUGUCUUUUU
rnacentral:pre_miRNA from 1 species